rnacentral:rRNA from 1 species
CCUUAGAUGUUCUGGGCCGCACGCGCGCUACACUGAUGGGUUCAUCGGGUUUUAAUUUCAUUUUUGGAAUUGAGUGCUUGGUCGGAAGGCCUGGCUAAUCCUUGGAACGCUCAUCGUGCUGGGGCUAGAUUUUUGCAAUUAUUAAUCUCCAACGAGGAAUUCCUAGUAAACGCAAGUCAUCAGCUUGCAUUGAAUACGUCCCUGCCCUUUGUACACACCGCCCGUCGCACCUACCGAUUGAACGGUCCGAUGAAACCAUGGGAUGUUUCUGUUUGGAUUAAUUUUUGGACAGAGGCAGAACUCGGGUGAAUCUUAUUGUUUAGAGGAAGGUGAAGUCGUAACAAGGUUUCCGUAGGUGAACCUGCGG